UACGUAGGGUGCGAGCGUUGUCCGGAAUUAUUGGGCGUAAAGAGCUCGUAGGCGGUCUGUCGCGUCUGCUGUGAAAGCCCGGGGCUUAACUCCGGGUCUGCAUUCGAUACGGGCAGGCUAGAGUUCGGUAGGGGAGAUUGGAAUUCCUGGUGUAGCGGUGGAAUGCGCAGAUAUCAGGAGGAACACCGAUGGCGAAGGCAGAUCUCUGGGCCGUAACUGACGCUGAGGAGCGAAAGCAUGGGGAGCGAACAGG
rnacentral:rRNA from 1 species